GACGUAGGGUGCGAGCGUUGUCCGGAUUUAUUGGGCGUAAAGAGCUCGUAGGCGGCUUGUCGCGUCGACUGUGAAAACCCGCAGCUCAACUGCGGGCCUGCAGUCGAUACGGGCAGGCUAGAGUUCGGUAGGGGAGACUGGAAGUCCUGGUGUAGCGGUGAAAUGCGCAGAUAUCAGGAGGAACACCGGUGGCGAAGGCGGGUCUCUGGGCCGAUACUGACGCUGAGGAGCGAAAGCGUGGGGAGCGAACAGG
rnacentral:rRNA from 1 species